rfam:Brassica napus, WGS project CCCW01000000 data, contig: 11546
ACUAUGGUGUCAUUUGACACCACAAAAAUGUAAAUUGAACUUUUCA